rnacentral:lncRNA from 1 species
GGAAAAACUAAAUUUAGAUGCAUCUUUGACUUCAUCAAUGGAUCAAUAUUGCUCUUGCCCAUUUUAUUACCAAGAAUAUAAAAACAAUUAAACCAAAGAAUAGGAUGUCAUCAUAGUUCAUGUUGAAGAAUAGGAUGUGUUGUGCUAUUGCCCAUUUCCUGCAUGUGUGUUGUGGAUCGAGUAAAAAUUAGUAUGAAAUUAAUAUGAACAAAAGAAAUAUAAUUCAGUUUUAGUACCUUUAAAAACUACAAAAGCUAGAACACAAAAGUCUGUUGCAAACACACCAUAAGAGACCGUAUAGUCAGAAAGAAAAUACAUAGAAUUGGAGUAUUUGACAAAAUAGAUAUCACCACACACCGAGUUAGGUUGUUGCUUUUUUUGUUCUUCCUUUACAUUGAUUUUUUUUUAAUGUUGUAGUAGGCAAAAAUCUCUUCCAGAUUAAUUGAAAAAUACGUUAAUUGUCUAUGGGACUCCUCCACCGCAUGUUUCUCCCUUUAAAAUAAUGAAGUAGAAAAAUGAGGAUAAGCCUAUAACACAAUUGAAGAAAAAAAAUGAUGUUUGUGUAUAAUGGAGAAAGAAGCACAAUAGAAGGGACAAAAAUCCGUUAUGUUGUGCAUUGGAAACCGUUGCCUUUGCGGUAACUUAUUGAUCUCAAAUUGAUGCCAUAACAAGCAGCCAAUCACUAAGAUUCAUGUCUUCUGUUUUUCUGUUCAAAACAAAGCAUUUGCCCUCAACGACCACAAUGCAAACAGGCAUGAACUCAACAGUCGCUCCAACAAUCUCACCAAUAAUCAAACACUAAAUAAACACAAAAAACUGCACAGAACAAAGUAUAAAUUAAGAAUGUCAAAAAGUAAUGAGAAUCAAAACCAAAAAAAAAUAAAAAAUAAAUAAAUUUAAACAAACGAGAGUUUUCAAGAGCCAAGUGAUUAUAGUGGUUGAUUCGUUUAGACAAAGUUGUUGUUAUAGAAAUUUAUGAAGUGAAAAGAGAAACACGAAUUCAAUCAUCCCGUCAGAUUCCAUCAUUCUUUCUAUUCAAGUUUCUCAUGUUUCAUCUUUUUACGUUGUUGUUCUGUCAAGAUUGUGCAGCAGUUCUUUCUUGGUAGUUUUUGAGUUUGAAUGAGAGGCAUCAGUAAAAAAAAAUAAGAUAGGUAGUUAUCGAUGAAAUUACUAUAAUGCACUGGUUUACAAAUUAAGUUUGAG